GUGUGUGUGCGAUUGUACCCUGUGAUGGGUUGGCACCCUGUCCAGGGUGUCCCCCGCCUUAUGCCCUGAGUUCCCUGAGAUAGGCUUCAGACUCCCCACGACCCUGUACCAAAGAGAGGAAGUUCAAAGGAAGAGCCACCUCACUGGAAAACUUGCAAACUUCUUUUCAGCAUUUCUUGCAGAUUUCUUUUCAAUCACAAACUGUGAAAUGCAAAAAUAAGAACAAACUAUAAAUGUACAGAAGUGUGCAUGGGCUCACAGAAAAUAAGACAUAAGAUUGGCGCAUUGCAUAUUUUUGGAAUCUUCAUGACCAUCAGUGUAUAUGGUAUGUGGCGCAAAUGUGUUUGAGUGAAUUCAUCAUUAGGAGGUGUGGUGCGAUAAAGAUGUGAUAGCUAAUCAAAUCAGCUCCCUUUAAGAAUCAAGUGCAGCACAGUGACACUUUUGUAAUGACAUACAAAUAGAUUUUACUUACAGAUAUAAAUGUAUACUAGUAACAAUAAUGAGCUGACUGAGAGGACCUACAGCAAAAAUAUUUCUGUUCUCCUUUUUGCUGUGAAUAGAUUUUAUGUUGAUAUUUUUGUGGCGGUGUAAUAAAUGUGUAAUAAUAGUAGAAUAAGGACAGAAUGACACCGAUAAAAUGACACUCAAUCCAUGUCAGCACAGUGCAUUCAUUUAUGACCGCAAAAAGAGAAACUUGCGCAAAAGAGAAAAAAAUAGGCUAUUUCGGUCAACCAAAAUAGCAACACGUCAUCGUUAUCCAGUAAAUUGCACUUGCAUUGGUGCAAAAAUAGACACGCAUGUACCUUGUCAGCUCCCAGCAGAUAGAAGAUUAAGUAUUUCAUGUUCAAAGCCCCAUAAGAAAAGAAAAAAAAGAGGAGAUUUUUAAUCAUGCUAUUCUGGCUUUACAUCACAGGUCACCCGGUGGUUACGUACACUUAUUUCUUGAUUCACACAAACAUUUACAGUAUCUUAGACAGAGUAGGGACUGAGAAAGUACACCAGCUAUUCCAUGUCCUGUGUCCUUCUGGAGCUACAUCAGUCAUAAACCUUUGUGUCAAUUAUAUACCAACAUAUUGCUGAGUAGAUUGUGCAAGAAGUAUGACUCCGGGUUAUUCUGCUUGCACAUUUCUCAUAAACACACUGCUCAAAUGGGCUGUUACACAUUUAUUCUCUGAGUAUAAAGCUCUUAAAACAUCCAACCCCUCCUGACCUGGUUUUAGCUUACAGCUGCGAUUGAAGAGCAUAUAGCAACAAGUCCCAGCACUGUUUCACACCCAGUCUAUCCUUGAGGAUUAAGAGAUCAAUCUAGACGGCAUUAAAAAUUUUCAAUGGUAACACAAACAUGGUCUCGUCAAUCGUUUAGGCUGUGAUUUAAAGGAUGCUGCAACAUGGAUUUGAUAAACACAUCAUUUGAAAAACAUAUGCAGCAUAAUAUAUUUAGGAAAUAUCUAUAUUGUACCCUGGGAAGUAUAAUGUUCUUAUAUGGUUUUUUCCCCUCAUUGUUUGCAUAUUGACCACAAUCAUAAUUUGCACAUGGCUUACAGUAAAAACGUGAUGAGACAAAUUGCAGGUCUUUCACCUGAAUUAGGGCUUGAAAAGGCUUUAAUGAUACCAGUUCCAGAGAACACUUUGUUUCCAGGGAAACAGGAGCAAGUGUCUGAGUGAGUGUGUGUGUGUGUGUGUCAGUGAAAGAGAGGGAGGGUUUGUGUGUGUGUGCAUGCGUGUAUGUGUAGCCAAAGGACUGGUAUAAACAUGGUUUACUUCUAAAUGGACCACUCUGCCAAGAACUCCCAAGACUCCUGAGAAGUUAAUAAUAUUCCAAACAUUUAGAGCUAUGCACUCUGCACAUUCUACAGGCGAAUGUGUACAGAAUGAAAGAUACACACAAACUAGUUCAUUUGCACACACACCAGCUGUGCAACAAUGCAAUUACAGAAUUUUUAAUACUGGCAUCAUUAUAAUUCAGUUUAAAAGACAAAUGUUAGGCGUGGCUGUUCUUGGAUGCUGAUAUGAAGUUGUGAUGGGUUUUUAUUACCUCCACGAAACAUAUUCUAUUAACUUAUUCAUGAAACACAUAUUUAUUCCCGGCAACAGAUAUUUUUAUCUUUAAUCUUUGUUGACCCAUUAGUGUUCAGCAUUGAAUAUGCUGCAAAAUACAUUGUUUGUAAGAUACUGUUAAAUUGUUGUGCAAUACUGAUUUCACGGAAGGCAGCAUGUGACAUGAACAAAUCGCUAUUGAAACGAACCACAUAGUUUAGAUGUCACAGAUGUUCAUAAUGAGAGUUUCUGGAUGAAUAACAGUAUUCACAAUAAAUUUAAAUAGUUUUAGACAGACUCAUGCAGGUAAAUUUUUAACCAUGCAGAAUCAAUGGUUAAAUAUCCAGGACACAUUAGCAGGUCUAGCCUUGCAUUCUUUACUCUUGUAACUAUAUCAUUUUCCUAACAUAUUCCCUUUAGUUACUGUAUAAUUCAUAGCAGAUACUGCAUUACUGAAGUUUAGUAUUAGUACUGCAUUAGUGAAGAUUAAUAAAGCUCAGGGUUCAAGGGGUUAAUAUAUUGAAAAGUAUGUAGUGAUCAUAAAAUAUAGCAGUACUUUGUCAUGCCCAUGUCAUGCUGCCCUAAUUCAGACUCAAUGUAAUGUAAACUGUUUAAGGUGCUUUUUAAAGAGGGGGUUAAAAUGAAAUGUACAGACAUACUGUUUAUUCAUAGUAUUAAGUGAGGUUACACUAUACACCAUUUUAAAAUCAAAGCAUAGUCAGACCCACUUUACUAAUAGUCUUUCAUUGUGAGAAGGAGCACAACAUAGUGUGUGUGUGUGUGUGUGUGUGUGUGUGUGUGUGUGUGUGUGUGUGUGUGUGUGUGUGUGUGUGUGUGCACGCACAGUGAUUAUCUGGGGCCCAGGGUGUCCGAAAGCUGCUAACUCAUUCCAACUCAGUGAUGACUGGUUUGACAUUUUAGAAGGCUUAAUCAUAAUCAUGUUUUUUUCCCUAAACACUGGGGGAAAAGCUUGGGGGAAAAACAUAAUUAUCUAUUUUGUUUCUUUUUAAGUGCCUGUGUUGGUGUGAUGUUAAUGUACAUGCAUUUCCAGCAUCAAAUGAUAAAAACCUCAAAGAAAAACUGAAAAAUAUUGCCCUAAAACAACACAUACUCUCAAUUCCUCAUUUCAUACUCUCUCUCUCUCUCUCUCUCUCUCUCUCUCUCUCUCUCUCUCUCUCGAACACACGCACUCACAGCUCUCUUUCUUGUGCAUUUUUCUUUCAUGAUUUAUUCAGACCUUUUCCCAUUUUUUCUUUUUAGACUUUAAAAAAAAACUAUAUUAUAGGAUAAGUUAGACAAAAAUGGCACAUACAUAUACCAUGAGGUGUCAAAACCUUGGUCCAAAUAUAAUAAUAGACAAGUAUGCAUGUAUACUGCAAUCUCUGAGUGUAACAAUAUGCUCACUGUUACAUAACAUGGUACGUAGCUGUGGUAAGCUCAGAUAAAACAAUAUGACAAGCACAAGAGGGUCAAAUGAAAGCUCAUGUCAUGUAUUUCAGGCUAGCUGUAAUCUUCAGUAUAUAUUGUGUUAAUGGGUGAAUUGAAUGAUGAGAUGCAUUGCUGUAUAGCAAAUAGUACUGAUUCGUCAGCCUCCUGUUACACACCCAAAUAUCCCUUAAUAAUUGUCUUACAAGGAAGCAAAACCGUUUGACCAUUAUGAGAAUUCGCCAGGGACUCCUUGGGGAUUCCUCGCAAAUAGGCUACUUUUUCCUCCCUCAGCCAUCGUUUUUUCUCCAGUAUCUUCUUUAUCCCCUCCUCCAUUUUUUUCAUGAAUCCAUUUUUCCAACACAUACACAGAGGAAGACAAACUGAUCCACAAAACAAACUGAUCCAAAAACAUUUUCUAACAGGCUCCAUUCCACACACAGCACACUGUGGAAGUGAAUUCUUCCCUUAAUCUUUAUUUAAUGAUAAGCUAUGAAGCUCUUUUGGGAGUCUUCUUCUGUCCAUGUUAACGAUGAUGUACACUGACACACAUGCAAUAGCUAUGGAUGAGUGGUGUCUCCAGACAGCACCGCCCUGAUGGAACGUUCUACACGCAGCCACAAGCUCACACACAAAGACAUUGCUCUCAAACUACAUUAAUCACAUACACAUGUAAACCCAGACAUGGACAUUCAGCCAAAAAUGCACUGAUGAGGAAAUGCCACAUUUUCUCAAACUCAAUUUUGUUGGGUUCUGAUGUAACGCCCACCUAUCUCACACAUAGAUCUCCCUCUUACACUUGCAUACACAAGUACACAUCCGUAGCAUCUUCCUUUUUCACAGUGAGCUGAUGUAAAUGUCUGCAGCUUACCUUCUCAGAGAGAUUAUGUAUUUGUUUAUUUCGUCUCGGAGACUCCAAUAUUGCACAGGAUGCAGUAGUAGUAGCCAAAGGUUCUCUCACACACUGUCCCUCUUCCUGACACUUUUGCAACACACACAUACACACACACACACUGUCUGCUACACCACUCUGGCUGACAGCCCUUCUCAUGCUCCGCCCAACAGCUAGUGGAAUCACUCAGGAAGCCAACUCAAACCCACUUCCCCCUCUCUCUGGGAACACACACUUGCACAUAGCCAGACAUUGUCCAAAGGAAAAUACAAUAGCUCAUACCUGCUCUCCUCCUAUAGAUGCUUCAUCCUACAGUCACACUAUUGCUUUCAUGCCCCUUUAUCUUGUUCUGCCAGGCAUGUUUUAUAUUUGUGCACCUGAGACACUAAUUUCAGUGUAUGUGAUGUGAUGCAGUUCUGCCCAGUAGAAUUGCUCCUCUAUACAACCUAGUCUUUCACAGCAUGCACAGGGCAGCCAGUCCUGUGCUGUUGCUCUGGUACAGUGUUGAGAGCAAGAACAGAUAAAUGUGCACAAUUG
ensembl:lncRNA